CCAAAGCACUGUUGGGAAGAGUGAUGGCCUUCCCUGUUGGCCGCAUCUGCCAGAGAGCCGCUGACUGUGUGUGGUGAAGAUGGGCUCCUCCCUCCUUCGUGGCACAAAGCAGAGCCUCCUGCCCACAGGUUGGUUGCUCACCUAGAAGCCCUGUUCCUACAAUGGAGAAGAAGAGGGACAAACUUCCUAAGUACACGACUAUUGACUUCAUCAAGACAGCUUCAUCUUUUCGAGAUCUCCCAC
rnacentral:lncRNA from 1 species